UUUAUAUAUAUAUUUUACAAUUUUGCAUCAUAUAUCCAUAUCAUUAUUACAUUAUUUUUCCAGUUAAAAUAGUGGUUCUGCAGCUAUUACCAUUCUUAAAAUAUACAUGACAGCCUCAAUAGAGCUGUUUCUCCGUGAUACUACAAGUCCCAGAAUGCAAUGCGCACACUGCCGCAGCUGUCUUAUUUCAUUUGAAUCAACCCAACGACAGUGCCACGAAAGAAGGAGCUAAUUGGCUGUUCCCGUCACGCCGAACGAACGAGCUGAUUGGCUAAUGACACCAGAUGAGUGCCUCCAUUCUGCCCUGAUUCCACUUCCACACACAGCGCACACAGCAUCCCCGCGAUUCCGCCGCCCUCCGCCUCUUUCCGUCUCUGCGAUAUAGACAUCAAAACACGGACAAAAAAAAAACAAGGCGGGCCGGUCGGAGGCCCGGGAAGUGGCGCAUAUGAGACAGAGAUGGACAGGGCGGGCGGAUGGUGGCGACGCCGCACAAGGCCGCGGGGGAAAGGGAGGAAACCCAACGUGGUCGCGUUUGUCCCCGUUCGUCUCCACUCUGUCAGCUACAGAGCUUAACCUUAGCACCCCCUUAUGUCAAAUAGAAAUCCAUCACACUGACAGACAUCUUUGGAGAUAAAUAGACAAUAUCAUCACAUCUCAAAGGAUUUUCUUUUUUUUUUUUUUUUUUUUAGGAGAUUCUUUGUUUUUAAAAUGAGCUCAAAGCUUCAGUGUACUUCCUGGACUGGUCGCAGCUCACAGGACGCGCAUAGAAACAACCAGAAAACCGUUUCGGGUCGCACCCCCACCAGCAGUGGCUGAGCGAGAAUCAAAGUCAUUUUGUUUGUCACUUUGACCAUAGACAACGUUCCUUGGUCUUUAAUCUGAUACUAGUGAAUGGGGCAGUGCUGUCCCGGUACUCGGUCUUCCCGUGACUGUACUGUUGUCGUCAAAUGCCCUCUUUGGUGUUAUUUCACUGACAAAGAGGGUCAAAGUUGACUUGUGUGCUCAUUUUUAUGAUCAAAUUUGGUAGCCUCGUUAAAAUUCCUCCUCUCUGAGUUACCUACUUGUACGGUUUCAUGUGCAAUGUGUUGCAGUUCAAAAUCUCACACGCAUGCAAUUAUUUGAGUAAUUCUAAAAUGCAUUGCCAGCAAUGACUUGAGCAUGUCUUAGCUGCCUCUGAUAUAGUAUAAAUUAUUCGUUGAGAGGCAAUUCGGAUGAAAAACCUGCUCAACACUGUAACGGCGCCUCUAUAACCUAUUUAAGUCACGGUGUUGCUACGACUGCUUCUGCCCAGUUUAUUUUAUGGGCCUGUGCUUUUCCCGGUGUCAAAAUGUCUCCCAGGUAAUGAGCCUAGCCGGUCAUUAACCUUUCAACUGCGCGUCUCACCUCAUAUUUAUUGACUCCCAAGGUCACUGUCUGCCAGCUCAAUCCCCGACACGGGUACUCGUGCUUUAUUGCUCGGUGCUGCAUUGACUGCCUUUAAGAUGUCGAAUUGAAGUAAAAUAUUUGCUUCAGAAAUUGCAUGUAAAUGUCUUGGAUAGGAGACGUUUCGUGUCGCUAUUCAGACGGGAUGGUGGCGAAUGUGCAGUCUUUCAGGGGUGUCAAUCAUUUUUGUCACGGGUUCCUUUGUAGUUAUGGUUUCCUCAGAGGGCCGUUAUGACUGAAACCAUAAAAAUCUUUGAUUGCCUCAUCAUACUUACAUGUGAAAUUUAUGAACUAGUUUUGGAAUCAGAAAUCAAGUGGAAUGGAUUUUUCAACUAUUGAUGCUUGGUAACAAAAAAAAAAAGCUUGCAAUAUCUCAAUGUUAUCUAUGAUUUGACAAUUAGAAACUUUGUUAAAGAUUUGAACAAGAAUCGUGGAUGUUGCUGGCCACAUAAAACCAUGUGGCUGACCGGUUCUGGCCCCCGGGCCUUGAGUUUGACACCAGCGUCUUAAGUGGUUCUGUACAUGCUCCGCGUUGUCCUGUUUUUCUACUCCGUGUUGGUUUUGUUGGGACGAGGCGAGUAAAUAUUGAUGCACAUUCUGCUCGCCGGCGGUCUCGGUCCAUCUGGAUCCACGCUCGCCUCCAGAGAGCAAACAAGCUGGAACAAACUUCC